rnacentral:lncRNA from 1 species
CCACGGUCACUUUGAGAGGCGUGCGAAGAGCUAACCUGAUGGACGAGCUGUCUUUUAUAUCGACGUGGCAGAGCCACGUAACUCCAUGAGCUAGUAAGCCAGCUCAACCGUUGGACACGGCCUUAUGGAGCUAGGGCCGCGGCAUAUUUGACAGGGAGUAUUUUUCAAUUUUCAUGGCGACAAGAAGGUCCAACCGGGCGACUUUUUCUUCCAGGCAUCU